rnacentral:lncRNA from 1 species
GUACCUGCAAUAUGCACACCACCUGCACGACAGCCGGAUGCCAAACCACCCCAUCCCCACUCGAGGACGCGCCGGAUCUGGGCAAGGAAGCCAGAUCCGGCCGUCCCCCUCACCACCAACGCCGGCCGACGCCUAGAGGGGCGCCGGAGGACGCCAGUGGCCGCCGCCGGAUCCGCGGCCUCCACCACCGCCGUCCCAAUGCCAUCGCCACCCACAUCACCACCCGGCGCACUCACCUCAGCCGCCACCGUCACCCGUCCCCGCCGCCGUCGUCGUCCCCGCCGCCGUCAUCAACCCCGCCGUUGCCGCCGCCGACCCCGCCACCAGCCCAUCCCCGGGCGGCUCCCCAGGCCGUCCAAGCGCAAGGAGACGAGGAGCGCCCCGCCGCCGCCGUCCUUGCGGCCGCGCGGCCUCGCCGGCGGCCGCUCCGGCGACAGCGAGGCGGAGAAGGGGGGUGGGGUGGGGGGAAGAGGGGCGGCCGGGUCGCCUCCCGAGCCGCCCCUGGGGAGAGCCGACUCUGGGGGAGAUCUCUUGUAUUUAUCUCCAUCUGCUGUAAAAAGAUAUCCAUUUGCUGAUAUCCUCUCUGAUGCAGCUAAUGCCCCUGCCCCUUGUCCAACGUUUCCUGCCCCGGACACAACCUGCGAAAGUCCUCAAGCCUGUGCUAAUCAGUGUGUUGCCAAUGGCUACCUGAUCGGAUUCUGCGAGAUCUUUACUUUGGGACUUGGGGAUUGCGUGUGCGUGAAAUGCCCAAAUGCCCAGAUGAUGCAUGCUGACCAUCUUCCAUUGCAGAGUCGCUUCCAAUAG